CGGGCUCCCUGCCCUUACUUGCGAUCGUUGUUUUGGUUGUUGGCUUGCGUGGUUACGCGUCUGCGGUGUCCUUUAAGUGGAUCCUCAGCCAUCCGUAAUCGAUGAUUUCGUUUUCGGAUUGGACGAUCCAUCGAUCGUUGAUUUCGUUUUCGGAUUGGAUGAUCUGUUUCCGAUAGAGGGCUUCACAAUUUUGCCGGAUUAAGGCCAUUUGCGACAGAUUUUAUAUGUACUUUCGAAGCGGUAGGUGAGGCUUUGGUGUUUGUGUGGGUAUUAUCUUAAUGGAACCCUCGCGGAGUCUGUGAGGCAAUUUGUGAAGGUUGCUCUGGUUUUCCGAAAUGAUCUGAACAAGGGAUGUGUCCUUUUUGAUCUGGUUUAGUUGGCCUUCGUUACUUUCAACUUUUAUUUGUUGCAUUUAUGUCCACCAGUUGGUUAUGUUUGUUUGUUUUUAUUUUUUGUGUGCAAGGGAAAGCUUCUGGAUAUGAUAUUUGAAAGAGAGAUGUGUGUGUUUUGCUACCAUGCUAUGAUAUUUGGUUUGAGAUAUACGCUAACGGUAUCUGCAUCAAUGCUGUGUCUUUUGGAUACUCUAGUUGGAUUUAGACGGGUAUCAGGGAAGAGUUCCAUCAACUUCUCAUUUUUUGAGGGUUUUUGUGGGCAGUUGCCGAAGCAUCAUCGUUAGGCAUGAUUCUAUUAAAUAGAGAUGAUUCUAUAUGUGUCAUCGACGCUGUUGGUGGGGCUCUGGUGUUUUUGUGAUUAUUAUCUGUAUGGAGCCACACGUAGCUGUGAUGCAGUUUGUAAAGGAUGCUCCAAUUAAGGAUGCUCUGGUUUUUGUUGAAUGAUUUAAAUAGGUUUUCCAUUAGAUAGUGUUAUAUUUAAGGGGUUUCAUUGUUGUGACAUACGUUGCUUAUUAUGAUGGAUCCAGGGCUUCCGAAAUUAUCUGAACAGUGGAUAUGUCCGGUUUGUGCUGGUUUAGUCAGCCCUUGUUACUUUCAAACAUUAAUUGUUGCCCUUACGUGCACAAGUUGGUCAUUUGAUACGGUUCUCAUCAAAGUAUGGUUGUUUGUUUUUAUUUGUUGUCUGCUAGGGGAAGCUGAUGGACAUCUAGUUUUGCAUGGGCAUGGGACAUUUUUUUGAAAGUGAGAUGAUUUAAAUUGGGUAUAUGGAAGGUUAUUUUGUUUGCCUAUUUGGUUUAUUACAUCCAGUUGUAUUCUUGGCUGCUCUUUCCAGAUGAAAUUUGGAUUUUCUGUCCUGGUUUUCUACAAUUAGUUAUGAUGUUUGGUAGCAGGAUUUUAUUUUGGAGUUAAUACAUUUCUAAAUUGGGUUAAUUACAUCCUUUGGUGUUCUUGGCUGGUUGUAUUAGAGGAAGUCAGAUAAUUUUGUUGAAUAACUUGAAUUCUGUGGUCAUCAUUUCCAUUGGCGUCAUUGCUGUUCAUUUAUUGCCAAAAUGCAGUCCAACAGUGCAAAGUUGUUACAUUUGAAAGGUACCUGUGCUAUUAAGGUGUCUUUGUUGGUGAUCUUGGGUUAUGAUAAUUGUACUUGAUUGUUAUAUCGAUUUUUGAAUCAAUUCAAUGGCACAAUUGAUGGCUUCAAAAACAAGUGGGUUUUAAGAUGCAUUGUUACUUUUUUCUUGUAUCAAGUUGGAGGGAGGCUGAUGUACUUUUUGCUGCUCAUUUUAUGUGAUGUUUGUCUACUUGAAGCUUGUUUUGGGAGCUGGGUUUCAUGUUAAGAAAGUUGGGUUUCUCUUCAGUAUGGAGCCUUCAUAUUGUAAACAAAGGAGUCCAAUUUUCAUCAAGGAAUAUUCUUGUGGGAACCCAAUUGCUAAUUGAAUAUAUUUCCUUUAUGAAGAUUCUUCAACCAUAGCUGAUACAAACAAGUUUACAAGAUUGUUGUUUUGGUUUGCAUGAUGAAGAGAAUAGAAGUUCUACCUGUACUCCUGGUGAUGUGAACAAUGUAGUUGGAACAUCUACGGAAAGCCUAGCAUGAUUAAACAGAAAUUCAUGGGAAAGAUUUUAUUGGCUUUAACUGGUUUUCCCAGGAUUAACAUUAGAUUGAAAAGCUUGGAACUGACAUUUGAAUUGAUCCACUAGUACCUGUUGCUAUUCCCCAUGAUAUUUGCAAGUUUUGGUUCGAUUUUGUUCUUUUCCUGUGUGUACAUGUUUAUAUGGUUCAAAGAACUCUGGAAGGUUGUGUUUGGUUGAAAGGGGGCGGGUGCAUUUGGAUUGAGAUUAGCAAAUCGAAAAGAUUGGAAAAUGACUUUUGAUUGAGAUUAGGGCAUCGAGAAGGUUGGAAAAUGAUUCUUUAGUUGAUUCGCAAGUCUCAGUAGCUAUUACCGGUGAUGUUCUGCAAUUUAUGGAUGGAUUUUGUUUUAUUUUCCUGUGCCUACAUAUUUGUAUGUUCCAAAGAACUUUGGAAGUUCUGUUUUUGGUUGAAAACAUGGUGCAAUGGGAUGUUGUAUCUAUUACGCAAAUUGGUUGUACCAAAAAUUAUUGUGGACUAGUACUCAGAUUUUGUCAUAAGGUAUCAGAUCAAGGUUUUUGAUAUGGUUGUGUAUGAAUCAUGUAGGUGGUAAGUUGCAUGUUUUGAGCUUCCAAUGGUGAUGGUGUCUGGCGUUGGUAAGCUGGCCAGAUACAUUGUUCUUUCAAGUUGGUUCAUCCAUGAAUUGACAUUGUAUCCAUUGAUUUAAUUCAUGAUUGUUUGUAAGAAAACUUUUAAUGUUCGAUGUGUUGGUAAUUAUACUUCUACUAAGAAGUUUAUAUAAUAUUAUUUGGUAGCUUACAAGCUUUAUUUUUUGUCUGAUUCUGGUAGUGUUUUGUCAGUUAUUGGGUAGCAUGAUGUUGGUUGGGGGUGACUCUAUUUUGUGUCUUAGAUUUGUAUGUCUUGGGUUUUCUCUUGAACAGGAGUCUUUGACAAGGCAUAUCUUUGAUGAGGCAUAUCUGCCAUGUUCAUGUAGUUUUGUUUGCUCAAAACUUGCUUUUUUGCGACUUGCAAUUGUAUGACCCUUUUUCUGAUAUUGUUAUGCUUCCAUGCUUUAACAUUAAUGUUUUUUAGUUGGCAUCUGUGUGUAUUCUUGGAUUUUUCAUGACUAAAUGACUGUUCAUCACCAAUUUUUGAGUGUUUGUCAUGAGGGGAAUUUGUCCUCAGUUUUCUUCGUUGGUGAGGUGUUUAUGAAUCUUAAUUUUGUUUAUUAGGAAUUUCGGAGUAUCUAAUUUUGGUUGUAUUUAUUUAUUGAAUUGUGAAUUUUUGUAUUACAUUUUUGUUUCAUGAUUAUCUUCUAUAUUGUUUGUUGAUAUUUCAAAACUAUUCCAGUAGUCUAUAUUUUUUUAGUAAUUUGCUAGGUUUAGAUAGUAAGCUGAGUUGGAAAAUGAUAAGUGGAAGGUGUUCAUAAUUGUCUUCAGGUAACAAUAAAAUAUUAUUUAGUAAAAAAUAUAACUAUUGGGAAAUAAGCAUAUGAGAUUGUUUGCAAGCAUGUUUGGAAACAUGUGAAGACAAAAUUUGAAGCUUGAAGAAUAUGAGAAAAGGGUUAUAUAGCUAUCUUGAAAUUAAAGAGCAUGUGUUUAUUUAUCCCUUGUGAAUUUGCUUGGACUGUUUAUGAGGAUGUUAUGAUACUUGUGAGACUUUUUACUUGGUGUUGCAUCUUUGAAUUAUUUUAGAGCUUAUUCAGUAUGGUGACAAUUCCUGUUCAAUUAUGUUUGUUUUUUUUAAUUAUUACACUUUCCAUGCUUUUACGACUAAUUUACUGUGUUGAAUGUAUUUCCUGUUCAAUCAUGUUUGGUAUUUUCUUUGACUACAUUUUCCAAGCUACUAUGAUUAUUAGAUUACAUUUUCUUUGACUACAUUUUCUUUGUCGAUAUAUUUAGCUACUAUGCAAUUUGUUUAUUAGUAAUUUGAUUUUGUUGUUCGUAUAGGUUGUAGCAUAUUUUACAAUUAGUAUGAGAUUUGCAUUGAUUAUCGUUUAUCAAACAGAUGGGUUUGCUGUUUAGAAUUUAAAAUUAAAUACAAAAACGAACAAGAAUAGAAGUAAGACUGGUAAAUUGGACAUUGCAAUAACCACUUUACUAUCAUUGUUGUUUUCCAAGCUUAGCUAAGAAGACUAUAAAGUUGGAUAUUAUGUGAUUUGUAGUUGCAUUGGAUGUUUUUUAUGGUCAGAAGUUCAUUGCUGGAUAGGUAUUCUCCAGGGAGGUUGAUCAACUUCUCCUUUUGUCAACAUUUGGUGAUUGCAUUGGACUUCUACUUUACUGCUUGAUUGUUUUAUCUAAUUCUAUUUAUGUAUUCACAUUUUUCUUCUUCUCUUUUUUCCCUAAUUGUCUUUAUUUUUUCUGAUGGUUGGUAAAUUUUCUAUUGUUAAUCAUAAAUUCUAUAAUGGUAUUCAAUUGGCAAAUAUGUUGGGCAUAUGAUAGCUGUUGGCUUGAGAAUUAUGGGCAUUAUCUUUUUCCAUGUGAUAGCUGUUGGCUUUGUAGUUAUCUAUUGGUUCAUUUUGUGAGAAGUCUGCUUCUUGUUUUGCUGUUCUGUUGUGACAUUCCAGAAGCAUUGUUCCAUCACCUGGUGCAGUCUGGUUUUGCAUAUAUAAGAGAUAUGAUGACAUCUAUCUUGACUCUCUCCAGAUAGAUUAUAAAGCCUGGUGACUGAUACAUCUGCUUAUUUUCUACAUAAUACACCUGGUCUCUUUAUGUAUUCAUUUGUUGUGUUUCAGAUCUUCUGAACAUUGAUCUCCUCCUUGAUUUUUUGUUGUGUGGCAUCCAAUAGCUUUUUUGUUUCUGAAAUUUUGGGGUAUCUUAGCUUCUGAACCUUAAUUUUGGGUUUUUAAUGUGAUCUUUCAUGAUCAUGGGGUCAUCAAAAUGUCUGUUUUUGUUGGAACUUUCUGUGAUAUACUGAUAAUGAAAUUGGUACAUUCUCUGUUCUAAUGAGUUCAUUACAUCCAUUGUUAUUUUUCACUUGGCUAUUGAAGAGCCUAUAGUUUUUAUGUCCUGGUUUUGGUUUUUCAGUUUUGGUUAAUUUUUCAUAAUUUCCUUUUUUUUUCCUCUUGACAUUGCAUUCGGUGGUACAAAUUAUUUUGUGCUUCAUCUUUGUGAACCAUUGGUAUCAGAAUUUCUGUGGUCUCUUUCCAUUUAUUCAGCUUUUGCUUUUCUUUUCUUUGAGACACAUGCCUGUUUCUCUUAUUCUAUGCUUCAUUUAUUGUUCAAGAAGCUAGGAUGGGGCUAAACAGUGAAUGCAGUGAACCUUUGGUUGGUGAUCUCGAGCAAUAAUGGUAUGUAAUUUUGACAGUCUGUUAAAUAUUCACCAAUAGGGUCACUCAGCGAACUGGGUUUUCAAUUCUAUUAUAUUUUGUAGUUGCAGCAAUCUGUAAGUCAUUAUAUUUUGGUUUCUGAAAUUUUGGGAUGUCUUAGUUUCUGAAUCUUGAUUAUGGGGUUUAAUGCCAUCCAUCAUGAUGAGCAUGGGCAUUUUUAUAUACAAACUAGGUCAUCAAAAUGUCCGAUUGUAGGAAUAGAUCAUAAAAGUGUCAAAGAACCUAUAGAUUAUUUUUCACAAUAUCCUUUUUUUUUUCUUUGAAAUAGAUUUUAGUUGUACAUUGCCUUCAAUUCUAUAUCACAAUUUUUGUUGUUACUUUAUGGACAUUGUAUUGGGUGGUACAAAUUAUGUUGCACUUCAUCAUUGUGAACCAUUGGUACUAAAUCUCUCUGUUGCUCUCUUUCCACUUAUUCAGCUUUUGCUCGUCUCUUUUUCUAAACAUGUGCUUGAUUCUCUUCUAUGCUUUAUCUAUUGUUCAGAAGUUAGGAUGAGGCUAACAGUGAAUGUGGUAAACCUUUGGUUGGUGAUCUUGACUAAUAAUGAUGCGGGAUGACCCAAACUACCUCUUUCCAAUGUUUCUUCAAUUUGGAGUUAUGAUAGUAUAAUAUUGGUUGGUUGGUGGUAGCUUAACGUAGAUUGUUUGUAAUUUCUUUUGUAGGACUUUAAUGUUAUGUUUAGCACUGUUACAAAUGCUUCAAUUUGGAGUGGAUACUUUUGUCUAGUUGUGUAAUAAUUUGAAAACUUUUGUGUCUUCACAUUGAUUGUCUAAAUGGAUAAGAGGGGGUGGGCAUUGCUGCAGAUAAUGCAUGCGAGUGGAUGAUCGUAAUGUGCUGUUUGUGAACGUGGAUGCUUGGUCGUGGGUUUCUGUUGUGUUAUAAUUUGAGAUUAUCGUUGGUUGCAUUUGUGUUUGUUUUGACAUAAUUUUUAGGUUUAUUGUUUGACACUGCCAUUGCAUGUUUCAAGCCUGGAUGAGAAAACGUGGAGGGGGCAAUAGCUGAUCGGUACCUCUCUGUUGUAAACAAUCCAAAUGAUCUGCGAGUAUCACUAUAUGAGUGCAUUGCUCAACCUGCCCAUAGGAGCAACUUGUAUGACUCUCAUGUUUGGUUUUCGAAAUUCGAACUCUAGGGAUAAUAUUUCUCUUUGAGGUUUCUGUGUAGUGUACAUUGUAUGUAUAAUAUCUUUUCAAAAUGGAAUGUUUUUUUAAA